ACAUCCUUGAAUUGACACUGAUUUUCUGAUGGAAAAUGAACCACUUGAAAGAAGUACCCCUUUGUUUCACAGAUUCUUUGAAGCUUUGGCAUGAAGCUGGCAAAGACUAAUGCUGAAAUAACACAAGCGGCAGGUCUAAGAAUAUGAAGCAAUGAUCAUUUUUCACUAUCUGAAGUGUUAUUUUCCACUAAAUCUAAACAAUAUUCAAUGAAAGCAGGCAUCUUGUUUACCUUGAACUGUC